UACGUAGGGUGCAAGCGUUGUCCGGAAUCAUUGGGCGUAAAGAGCGUGUAGGCGGCCCGGUAAGUCCGCUGUGAAAGUCCAGGGCUCAACCCUGGGAUGCCGGUGGAUACUGCCGGGCUAGAAUCCGGAAGAGGCGAGUGGAAUUCCUGGUGUAGCGGUGGAAUGCGCAGAUAUCAGGAGGAACACCAAUAGCGAAGGCAGCUCGCUGGGACGGUAUUGACGCUGAGGCGCGAAAGCGUGGGGAGCAAACAGG
rnacentral:rRNA from 1 species